UAGGGAAUCUUCGGCAAUGGACGGAAGUCUGACCGAGCAACGCCGCGUGAGUGAAGAAGGUUUUCGGAUCGUAAAGCUCUGUUGUAAGAGAAGAACGAGUGUGAGAGUGGAAAGUUCACACUGUGACGGUAACUUACCAGAAAGGGACGGCUAACUACGUGCCAGCAGCCGCGGUAAUACGUAGGUCCCGAGCGUUAUCCGGAUUUAUUGGGCGUAAAGCGAGCGCAGGCGGUUAGAUAAGUCUGAAGUUAAAGGCUGUGGCUUAACCAUAGUACGCUUUGGAAACUGUUUAACUUGAGUGCAGAAGGGGAGAGUGGAAUUCCAUGUGUAGCGGUGAAAUGCGUAGAUAUAUGGAGGAACACCGGUGGCGAAAGCGGCUCUCUGGUCUGUAACUGACGCUGAGGCUCGAAAGCGUGGGGAGCAAACAGGAUUAGAUACCCUGGUAGUCCACGCCGUAACGAUGAGUGCUAGGUGUUAGACCCUUUCCGGGGUUUAGUGCCGUAGCUAACGCAUUAAGCACUCCGCCUGGGGAGUACGACCGCAAGGUU
rnacentral:rRNA from 1 species